rnacentral:rRNA from 1 species
UUCUAAGGGCGGUGAAGUCAGACCGGAAGGACUGGUGGAGCGCUUAGAAGUGAGAAUGCCGGUAUGAGUAGCGAAAGAAGGGUGAGAAUCCCUUCCACCGAAUAUCUAAGGUUUCCUGAGGAAGGCUCGUCCGCUCAGGGUUAGUCGGGACCUAAGCCGAGGCCGAUAGGCGUAGGCGAUGGACAACAGGUAGAGAUUCCUGUACCAGUGCUAAUUGUUUAACCGAUGGGGUGACACAGAAGGAUAGGGAAUCGCACGAAUGGAAAUGUGCGUCCAAGCAGUGAGUGUGA